CUGAAACCAAUUAAACCAACAAGGUUUCUUUCUUCUUGGGGACUUAGAGUGAAAUGGUUACAGCAGCCUCUUUGGAAAUGUGUGCAGCUUUCACCUCUGUGGGUUCCCUAAGGGAACGCGGCAAUGAUU